GACGAACGCUGGCGGCGUGCUUAACACAUGCAAGUCGAACGGAAAGGCCCUGCUUUUGUGGGGUGCUCGAGUGGCGAACGGGUGAGUAACACGUGAGUAACCUGCCCUUGACUUUGGGAUAACUUCAGGAAACUGGGGCUAAUACCGGAUAGGAGCUCCUGCUGCAUGGUGGGGGUUGGAAAGUUUCGGCGGUUGGGGAUGGACUCGCGGCUUAUCAGCUUGGUGGUGGGGUAGUGGCUUACCAAGGCUUUGACGGGUAGCCGGCCGGGGAGGGUGACCGGGCACAUUGGGACUGCGUGACGGCCCAGUCGCCUACGGGAGGCAGCAGUGGGGAAUAUUGCACAAUGAGCGGAAGUCUGAUGCAGCAACGCCGCGUGCGGGAUGACGGCCUUCGGGUUGUAAACCGCUUUCGCCUGUGACGAAGCGUGAGUGACGGUAAUGGGUAAAGAAGCACCGGCUAACUACGUG
rnacentral:rRNA from 1 species